rnacentral:rRNA from 1 species
CCUACGGGGGGCAGCAGUGAGGAAUAUUGGUCAAUGGACGAGAGUCUGAACCAGCCAAGCAGCGUGAAGGAUGACUGCCCUAUGGGUUGUAAACUUCUUUUAUAUGGGAAUAAAAUGUUCCACGUGUGGGCUUUUGUAUGUACCAUAUGAAUAAGGAUCGGCUAACUCCGUGCCAGCAGCCGCGGUCAUACGGAGGAUCCGAGCGUUAUCCGGAUUUAUUGGGUUUAAAGGGAGCGUAGGUGGAUUGUUAAGUCAGUUGUGAAAUGUCGGGGCUCAACCGUUAAAUUGCCUUUGAAACUGGCAGUCUUGAGUACAGUAGAGGUAGGCGGAAGUCGGGGUGUAGCGGUGAAAUGCUUAGAUAUCACGAAGAACUCCGAUUGCGAAGGCAGUUCACUGGACUGCAACUGACGCUGAGGCUCGAAAGUGUGGGUAGCAAACAGGAUUAGAUACCCGAGUAGUC